GCUUUUGGACUUGUGUGGUCUCUGCCACCAGGCCUCCGGACGCCAGAUAGGCCGCUGGGAGCAGGCACCAGCUUAGAGGAAAGCCCCACGUGCCCCUGUCUUCAGGCCUGCUAAGACAGAUGACUUCACAGAGGUUGAAUCCAGAGGGAGCAGCUUGCCCACAGCAGCUUUCAAAAAGGAAGUGAGAGUUGGAAGCCAGGCCAGACUACGUUGGUUUCUGUCUCGUGCAACCUCAAGGUGUCUGACUGAUAUACUCCUACUGAGGAGCCGGCCCUUGAAUGGAAUUAGAGUGGAAUUUACAUUUCACUCUGACCAGAGUCCUAAGAAGACCAGAGGGCAAUGAACAU